rnacentral:tRNA from 1 species
CUGCCCGCUCCAAGCGCUGAUAUAGCUCAGUUGGUAGAGCGCACCCUUGGUAAGGGUGAGGUCGGCAGUUCGAAUC